ACGUGGGCAACCUGCCCUGCAGAUCGGGAUAACUCCGGGAAACCGGUGCUAAUACCGAAUAGUUUUCGCCACCUCCUGGUGGCGUACGGAAAGACGGUUUCGGCUGUCACUGCAGGAUGGGCCCGCGGCGCAUUAGCUAGUUGGUGGGGUAACGGCCCACCAAGGCAACGAUGCGUAGCCGACCUGAGAGGGUGAUCGGCCACAUUGGGACUGAGACACGGCCCAGACUCCUACGGGAGGCAGCAGUAGGGAAUCUUCCGCAAUGGACGAAAGUCUGACGGAGCAACGCCGCGUGAGUGA
rnacentral:rRNA from 1 species